rnacentral:rRNA from 1 species
UACGUAGGGGGCAAGCGUUGUCCGGAUUUAUUGGGCGUAAAGAGCGUGUAGGCGGUUUGGUAGGUCCGCUGUGAAAACUCGAGGCUCAACCUCGAGACGCCGGUGGAAACCAUCAGACUAGAGUCCGGAAGAGGAGAGUGGAAUUCCUGGUGUAGCGGUGAAAUGCGCAGAUAUCAGGAGGAACACCAAUGGCGAAGGCAGCUCGCUGGGACGGUACUGACGCUGAGACGCGAAAGCGUGGGGAGCGAACAGG